rnacentral:tRNA from 1 species
GUUUCCAUAGUGUAGUGGUUAUCACGUCGGCCUAUCACGCUGAAGGUCCUAAGUUCAAUCCUGGGUGGAAACA